GCAGGGGACCUUCGGGCCUUGCGCUAACAGAUGAGCCCAUGUCGGAUUAGCUAGUUGGUGGGGUAAAGGCCUACCAAGGCGACGAUCCGUAGCUGGUCUGAGAGGACGACCAGCCACACUGGGACUGAGACACGGCCCAGACUCCUGCGGGAGGCAGCAGUGGGGACCAGCAAUGCCGCG
rnacentral:rRNA from 1 species